GGCAAAUCUUUUCUUGUCUUGCCAUUUCGGAUUCUAAAGGAAUUAAUACGUUGAAAAUAGAAAGAAAAUGAAAGAAGUAUGAGAGUUUUGAGUCCUCUUGCUUGCUGACCAAGCCACAUGCAGGCAACAUCUUUCAUUUCUAUUUUCAACAUCUUUCCAUUGUACUUUACAUUAACAGUACUUCAACUUCCCAUCUUUAAUUCACAAAGUCCAACUCCAUGCCAAAUACUGGUUACAGAUUACAAUAGCAAGCAUCCCACCUAAUAUAUUUGUGAUACCAUAAUCCCAAUAUUUCACAACUGUCCAUGCGAUUGGCAUAAACUAACCUUGCAUCAAACUGAACCUUGAAA